rnacentral:rRNA from 1 species
AGAGCGAACGCUGGCGGCAGGCUUAACACAUGCAAGUCGAGCGGGCGUAGCAAUACGUCAGCGGCAGACGGGUGAGUAACGCGUGGGAACAUACCUUUUGGUUCGGAACAACACAGGGAAACUUGUGCUAAUACCGGAUAAGCCCUUACGGGGAAAGAUUUAUCGCCGAAAGAUUGGCCCGCGUCUGAUUAGCUAGUUGGUGAGGUAACGGCUCACCAAGGCGACGAUCAGUAGCUGGUCUGAGAGGAUGAUCAGCCACAUUGGGACUGAGACACGGCCCAAACUCCUACGGGAGGCAGCAGUGGGGAAUAUUGGACAAUGGGCGCAAGCCUGAUCCAGCCAUGCCGCGUAAGUGAUGAAGGCCCUAGGGUUGUAAAGCUCUUUUGUGCGGGAAGAUAAUGACGGUACCGCAAGAAUAAGCCCCGGCUAACUUCGUGCCAGCAGCCGC